UGGGGUGUAGUUUAGUGGUAGAAUGCUUGCCUUGCAUGCAUGAGGCCUUAGAUUCAAUCUCCAGCACUACAA
rnacentral:tRNA from 1 species